UCUUCUUCCUCGCGCCGAGUCUGGGCCUCUUUGGCUUUGUUUCCAGACAUGGGGAAGAAGACGACGAAGCCAGGAAAAGGCAAAGAGAAAGCAUCGAAAGCUGAGGAAAAGAAAGCUCGCAGAGAGACCAGAAGCUCUCACCUGAUGAUGACAUCGAUGCCAUUUUGUGUUGGAAAAAAAUGGGGCUAGGCGGCCGCUAGGCGCUCGGCGGCUGAUUUUCGCAAUCGUUGUCUGUGAUUCCCAUAUGUAUGUCAUUUUGUGCUUGUUAAUUAGAGUUAUGGAUCAUUUGAGAGCAGCUGAAAUAGUUUGUGGGAGUUUUAAACUGUGUUGGAAAAAUCUGCCUAGGCGGCCGCCUAGGCGACUAGGCGCUCGGCGGCCGAUUUUUGGCAAUCAUUGUCUGUGAUUCCCAUAUGUAUGUCAUUUUGUUCUUGUUAAUUUGAGUUAUGGAUCAUUUGAGAACAACUGAAAUAGUUUGUAGGAGUUUUAAACAAUGUUGGAAAAAUCGGCCUAGGCGGCAGCUAGGCGCUGGGCGGCCCAUUUUUUGCAA